AACGAACGCUGGCGGCAGGCCUAACACAUGCAAGUCGAACGCUCUAGCAAUAGAGAGUGGCAGACGGGUGAGUAACGCGUGGGAACGUGCCCUUCAGUUCGGAAUAACCCAGGGAAACUUGGGCUAAUACCGGAUACGUGCGAGAGCAGAAAGAUUUAUCGCUGAAGGAUCGGCCCGCGUCUGAUUAGCUAGUUGGUGGGGUAAUGGCCCACCAAGGCGACGAUCAGUAGCUGGUCUGAGAGGAUGAUCAGCCACAUUGGGACUGAGACACGGCCCAAACUCCUACGGGAGGCAGCAGUGGGGAAUAUUGGACAAUGGGCGCAAGCCUGAUCCAGCCAUGCCGCGUGAGUGAUGAAGGCCUUAGGGUUGUAAAGCUCUUUCGUCCGGGACGAUAAUGACGGUACCGGAAGAAGAAGCCCCGGCUAACUUCGUGCCAGCAGCCGCAGUAAGAC
rnacentral:rRNA from 1 species